CGAUACUUGGUGUGAAUUGCAGAAUUCAGUGAAUCAUCGAAUCUUUGAACGCACAUUGCGCCCGCCAGUAUUCUGGCGGGCAUGCCUGUCCGAGCGUCAUUUCAACCCUCGAACCCCUCCGGGGGGUCGGCGUUGGGGACCUCGGGAGUCCCUAAGACGGGAUCCCGGCCCCGAAAUACAGUGGCGGUCUCGCCGCAGCCUCUCCUGCGCAGUAGUUUGCACAACUCGCACCGGGAGCGCGGCGCGUCCACGUCCGUAAAACACCCAACUUUCUGAAAUGUUGACCUCGGAUCAGGUAGGAAUACCCGCUGAACUUAAGCAUAUCAAUAAGCGGAGGA
rnacentral:rRNA from 1 species